rnacentral:misc_RNA from 1 species
GAUGAAGAACGUAGUGAAAUGCGAUAAGUAAUGUGAAUUGCAGAAUUCAGUGAAUCAUCGAAUCUUUGAACGCACAUUGCGCCCUCUGGUAUUCUGGAGGGCAUGCCUGUUCGAGCGUCAUUAUAACCACUCAAGCUCUCGCUUGGUAUUGGGGUUCGCGGUUCCGCGGCCCCUAAAAUCAGUGGCGGUGCCUGUCGGCUCUACGCGUAGUAAUACUCCUCGCGAUUGAGUCCGGUAGGUCUACUUGCCAGCAACCCCCAAUUUUUACAGGUUGACCUCGGAUCAGGUAGGGAUACCCGCUGAACUUAAGCAUAUCAAUAAGCGGAGGA